ACCAAGGAGUCUAACAUGUGUGCGAGUCACUGGAACUCGAAAAAGCCCAAGGGCGGAAUGAAAGCGAAAGUCGGGAUCCCCCGGACUCAGUUUCCGGUAGGGCGCACCGACGACCCGGACCACAUGGUUGGAACGGAGUCAGAGCACACACGUUGGGACCCGAAAGAUGGUGAACUAUGCUCGGGCAGGACGAGGCCAGAGGAAACUCUGGUGGAGGUCCGAAGCGGUUCUGACGUGCAAAUCGAUCGUCAGACCCGCGUAUAGUGGCGAAAGACCAAUCGAACCAUCUAGUAGCUGGUUCCCUCCGAAGUUUCCCCCAGGAUAGCUGGCGCUCAAGUGAGUCAGUCUCAUCCGGUAAAGCGAAUGAUUAGAGGGGCCCGGGGCCGAAACGACCUCAACCUAUUCUCAAACUUUAAAUGGGUGAAGAGUCCGCCUUUCUUGGUUGAAGGCAGGGACGUGAGAUGAGAGAGUGCCCAGUGGGCCAUUUUUGGUAA
rnacentral:rRNA from 1 species